UCUGGUCUGGGAGGGCAUGUAUGCCCUCAGGAACACACCGUGGUCAGACAAGGACACGCAAUGGCUCCAUGUUAUCUUGUUUAGAGUAUUCAGUAUAAUAUUAUUCUAUGCAAAGAAUUUAAUAAUAACAAGAGAGAAAGUAUGUAAAUCAAAAUUUCUCUA